rnacentral:tRNA from 1 species
AGCCUUAUAGUCAAAAAAUGAUUUUAAACUGCAAAUUUAAAGGUGAAAUUUAUUUCUAAGGCUU